GAUGAACGCUGGCGGCGUGCCUAAUACAUGCAAGUCGAGCGAACAGACGAGGAGAUUGCUCUUCUGACGUUAGCGGCGGACGGGCGAGUAACACGUGGAUAACCUACCUAUAAGACUGGGAUAACUUCGGGAAAACGGAGCUAAUACCGGAUAAUAUAUUGAACCGCAUGGUUCAAUAGUGAAUGACGGUUUUGCUGUCACUUAUAGAUGGAUCCGCGCCGCAUUAGCUAGUUGGUAAGGUAACGGCUUACCAAGGCGACGAUGCGUAGCCGACCUGAGAGGGUGAUCGGCCACACUGGAACUGAGACACGGUCCAGACUCCUACGGGAGGCAGCAGUAGGGAAUCUUCCGCAAUGGGCGAAAGCUUGACGGAGCAACACCGCGUGAGUGAUGAAGGUCUUCGGAUCGUAAAACUCUGUUAUUAGGGAAGAACAAAUGUGUAAGUAACUAUGCACGUCUUGACGGUACCUAAUCAGAAAGCCACGGCUAACUACGUG
rnacentral:rRNA from 1 species